UACGUAGGGGGCGAGCGUUGUCCGGAGUUACUGGGCGUAAAGGGCACGCAGGCGGUGCGGCGCGUUUCGCGUGACAGCGGAGGGCUUAACUCUCCGAGGAUGCGAAAGACGGCGGCACUUGAGGGCCAGAGAGGGACACGGAAUUCCGGGUGGAGUGGUGAAAUGCGUAGAGAUCCGGAGGAACACCGAAGGCGAAGGCAGUGUCCUGGCUGGUGACUGACGCUGAGGCGCGAAAGCGUGGGGAGCAAACGGG
rnacentral:rRNA from 1 species